rnacentral:rRNA from 1 species
UCGCAUCUGUGCAUGCAGCAUAUCAAUAAGCGGAGGAAAAGAAACUAACAAGGAUUCCCUCAGUAACGGCGAGUGAAGCGGGAAGAGCUCAAAUUUGAAAUCUUCAAGGUUUUACCUUGACGAAUUGUAGUUUAAAGAAGUGUUUUCUGCUGAAGUUUUGGUAAAAGUUCUUUGGAAUAGGACAUCACAGAGGGUGAGAAUCCCGUAUAUUGACCAUUGGAUUUGUCAGCUUUGUGAUACACUUUCAAAGAGUCGGGUUGUUUGGGAAUGCAGCCCAAAACGGGAGGUAAAUUUCUUCUAAGGCUAAAUAUUGGCGAGAGACCGAUAGCGAACAAGUACCGUGAGGGAAAGAUGAAAAGAACUUUGAAAAGAGAGUUAAAUAGUACGUGAAAUUGUCAAAAGGGAAGCGUUUAACACCAGUGUUGUUUUCUGAAAAUCAACCUCUGUUAGCUUUAUGCAUGUUUGUUUAGACCUAAUCAGCUAUCUUGCAUGUUCUAUUGUUUGCAGUGGUGCACUUUUCAGUUUACAGGUCAACAUCAGUUUUUUUUACCGUAAAAAAGUUAAAGAAAGGUAGCUCAUGGCUCCGGUCGUGAGUGUUAUAGUCUUUUUCCUAUGCGGUAGGAGAGACUGAGGUCUGCAGUGUAGGCUAUUUGGCUAGAUACUCAGGUGCUAUGUGAUACCAUUUCAUAAACAACUUGUUGAUUAUGUUUUGUCUAUUGCAUACUCGCUUGUACUAUCAUACCUACGCUUAGGAUGUUGACGAUCAGCUGAGCGCG